GUAACAAGGUCUCCGUUGGUGAACCAGCGGAGGGAUCAUUACCGAGUUUACAACUCCCAAACCCCUGUGAACAUACCAAUUGUUGCCUCGGCGGAUCAGCCCGCUCCCGGUAAAACGGGACGGCCCGCCAGAGGACCCCUAAACUCUGUUUCUAUAUGUAACUUCUGAGUAAAACCAUAAAUAAAUCAAAACUUUCAACAACGGAUCUCUUGGUUCUGGCAUCGAUGAAGAACGCAGCAAAAUGCGAUAAGUAAUGUGAAUUGCAGAAUUCAGUGAAUCAUCGAAUCUUUGAACGCACAUUGCGCCCGCCAGUAUUCUGGCGGGCAUGCCUGUUCGAGCGUCAUUUCAACCCUCAAGCCCUCGGGUUUGGUGUUGGGGAUCGGCGAGCCCUUGCGGCAAGCCGGCCCCGAAAUCUAGUGGCGGUCUCGCUGCAGCUUCCAUUGCGUAGUAGUAAAACCCUCGCAACUGGUACGCGGCGCGGCCAAGCCGUUAAACCCCCAACUUCUGAAUGUUGACCUCGGAUCAGGUAGGAAUACCCGCUGAACCUAAGCAUAUCA
rnacentral:misc_RNA from 1 species